AUUGAACGCUGGCGGCAUGCCUUACACAUGCAAGUCGAACGUGAAAGGGGGGCAACCCCCGAGUAGAGUGGCGGACGGGUGAGUAACACAUCGGAACGCACCCAGUAGUGGGGGACAACCUCGAGAAAUCGAGGCUAAUACCGCAUACGACCCACGGGUGAAAGCGGGGGACCGCAAGGCCUCGCGCUAUUGGAGCGGCCGAUGUCCGAUUAGCUUGUUGGCGGGGUAAGAGCCCACCAAGGCGACGAUCGGUAGCUGGUCUGAGAGGAUGAUCAGCCACACUGGGACUGAGACACGGCCCAGACUCCUACGGGAGGCAGCAGUGGGGAAUUUUGGACAAGUGGGGGCAACCCUGAUCCAGCCAUGCCGCGUGCGGGAAGAAGGCCUGGUGUAACG
rnacentral:rRNA from 1 species